GCCUGGGUGGCUCAGUCUGUUGAGCAUCCGACUUCGACUCAGGUCAUGAUCUCAUGGUUUGUGGGUUCGAGCCCCCCAUCAGGCU
rnacentral:tRNA from 1 species